GAUGGCUGAGCCAAGAACCAAAGCGUGAGCAGUCAUUAGCCAGAAAAAGAACAGAGGAAAAGUGUUCUGGCCAGAAGAUGACCAAACAUGGUCUGUUUGGGGAGACUGCAAGGCUUUCCGUCUGCUGACUUGCAAAGCUGGAGAGGAAGAGAGGUUGGUGCUGCCGUCAGGGGCGGACACACCCAGGAGCUGGUAAACCGGGCUCUGGAAUCUGGACCCGCAGAAGGAAGUGGCUCCCUGAUUAGUCCUGGAUGAGAAGAAGGAGGCAAGAGUAUCCAUGCAGGUUGCUGAGAAUCACCAGCUAUUAAUUGGUGAAACUGGAAUUUGACCCAAGGGAGUCACACGAUGGAGCCCCCACCCCCACCCCACCAUUCCCAACCUCCCUCUCCCUCCCUCUCGCCUCUCUGUCU
rnacentral:lncRNA from 1 species